rnacentral:rRNA from 1 species
AUACGUAGGGGGCGAGCGUUGUCCGGAAUGAUUGGGCGUAAAGGGCGCGUAGGCGGCCCGGUAAGUCUGGAGUGAAAGUCCUGUUUUUAAGAUGGGUAUUGCUUUGGAUACUGUCGGGCUUGAGUGCAGGAGAGGAAAGGGGAACUCCCAGUGUAGCGGUGAAAUGCGUAGAUAUUGGGAAGAACACCGGUGGCGAAGGCGCCUUUCUGGACUGUGUCUGACGCUCAGAUGCGAAAGCCAGGGUAGCGAACGGGAUUAGAUACCCCGGUAGUCCUGGCCGUAAACGAUGGGUACUAGGUGUGGGAGGUAUCGACUCCUUCCGUGCCGGAGUUAACGCAAUAAGUACCCCGCCUGGGGAGUACGGCCGCAAGGCUUAAACUCAAAUGAAUUGACGGGG